rnacentral:rRNA from 1 species
UACGAAGGGGGCUAGCGUUGCUCGGAAUUACUGGGCGUAAAGCGCACGUAGGCGGAUUGUUAAGUCGGGGGUGAAAGCCUGUGGCUCAACCACAGAAUUGCCUUCGAUACUGUAGAGCUUGAGACCGGAAGAGGUAAGUGGAACUGCGAGUGUAGAGGUGAAAUUCGUAGAUAUUCGCAAGAACACCAGUGGCGAAGGCGGCUUACUGGUCCGGUUCUGACGCUGAGGCGCGAAAGCGUGGGGAGCAAACAGG